UACGUAGGGCGCAAGCGUUAUCCGGAAUUAUUGGGCGUAAAGAGCUCGUAGGCGGUUUGUCGCGUCUGCCGUGAAAGUCCGGGGCUCAACUCCGGAUCUGCGGUGGGUACGGGCAGACUAGAGUGAUGUAGGGGAGAACGGAAUUCCUGGUGUAGCGGUGAAAUGCGCAGAUAUCAGGAGGAACACCGGUGGCGAAGGCGGUUAGCUGGGCAGUUGCUGACACUGAGGCGCGACAGCGUGGGGAGCAAACAGG
rnacentral:rRNA from 1 species